UGGGGAAUAUUGCACAAUGGGCGCAAGCCUGAUGCAGCCAUGCCGCGUGUAUGUAGAAGGCCUUCGGGUUGUAAAGUACUUUCAGCGGGGAGGAAGGGAGUAAAGUUAAUACCUUUGCUCAUUGACGUUACCCGCAGAAGAAGCACCGGCUAACUCCGUGCCAGCAGCCGCGGUAAUACGGAGGGUGCAAGCGUUAAUCGGAAUUACUGGGCGUAAAGCGCACGCAGGCGGUUUGUUAAGUCAGAUGUGAAAUCCCCGGGCUCAACCUGGGAACUGCAUCUGAUACUGGCAAGCUUGAGUCUCGUAGAGGGGGGUAGAAUUCCAGGUGUAGCGGUGAAAUGCGUAGAGAUCUGGAGGAAUACCGGUGGCGAAGGCGGCCCCCUGGACGAAGACUGACGCUCAGGUGCGAAAGCGUGGGGAGCAAACAGG
rnacentral:rRNA from 1 species